CAGCAGUGGGGAAUAUUGCACAAUGGGGGAAACCCUGAUGCAGCCAUGCCGCGUGUGUGAAGAAGGCCUUCGGGUUGUAAAGCACUUUCAGCGAGGAGGAAAGGUUGAUACCUAAUACGUAUCAGCUGUGACGUUACUCGCAGAAGAAGCACCGGCUAACUCCGUGCCAGCAGCCGCGGUAAUACGGAGGGUGCAAGCGUUAAUCGGAAUUACUGGGCGUAAAGCGCACGCAGGCGGUUGGAUAAGUUAGAUGUGAAAGCCCCGGGCUCAACCUGGGAAUUGCAUUUAAAACUGUCCAGCUAGAGUCUUGUAGAGGGGGGUAGAAUUCCAGGUGUAGCGGUGAAAUGCGUAGAGAUCUGGAGGAAUACCGGUGGCGAAGGCGGCCCCCUGGACAAAGACUGACGCUCAGGUGCGAAAGCGUGGGGAGCAAACAGGAUUAGA
rnacentral:rRNA from 1 species